AAGAUCAUACUUCACAGGAUCAUUUCUGUAGUAUGUCUUCAACUCUCUCUAGUUCAAAGCUGGAGUAGAUGCUACCACGAUGAUGAGUUGUAUAGUACAGUUCCUGAGCGUGAGGCAAGUAGAAUGAGAUUUAUAGGAUCUCAGCUGCUAUCGAUGAUCGUUCACCAUGCUUUUUGAAGUAUGGGAAGGGAUUUGUGCUUUCUGAGUGGC